UGAGGAAUAUUGGUCAAUGGGCGAGAGCCUGAACCAGCCAAGUAGCGUGCAGGAUGACGGCCCUAUGGGUUGUAAACUGCUUUUAUGUGGGGAUAAAGUGCGUGACGUGUCAUGCAUUGCAGGUACCACAUGAAUAAGGACCGGCUAAUUCCGUGCCAGCAGCCGCGGUAAUACGGAAGGUCCGGGCGUUAUCCGGAUUUUGUGGGUUUAAAGGGAGCGUAGGCUGUCUAUUAAGCGUGUUGUGAAAUUUACCGGCUCAACCGGUGGCUUGCAGCGCGAACUGGUCGACUUGAGUAUGCAGGAAGUAGGCGGAAUUCAUGGUGUAGCUGUGAACUGCUUAGAUAUCAUGACGAACUCCGAUUGCGCAGGCAGCUUACUGUAGCAUAACUGACGCUGAUGCUCGAAAGUGCGGGUAUCAAACAGG
rnacentral:rRNA from 1 species